rnacentral:rRNA from 1 species
CGUAGGGUGCGAGCGUUAAUCGGAAUUACUGGGCGUAAAGCGUGCGCAGGCGGUUUUGUAAGACAGAUGUGAAAUCCCCGGGCUCAACCUGGGACCUGCAUUUGUGACUGCAAGGCUAGAGUACGGUAGAGGGGGACGGAAUUCCGCGUGUAGCAGUGAAAUGCGUAGAUAUGCGGAGGAACACCGAUGGCGAAGGCAAUCCCCUGGACCUGUACUGACGCUCAUGCACGAAAGCGUGGGGAGCAAACAGGGUUAGAUACCCUGGUAGUCCACGCCCUAAACGAUGUCAACUGGUCGUUGGGUCUUUACUGACUCAGUAACGAAGCUAACGCGUGAAGUUGACCGCCUGGGGAGUACGGCCGCAAGGUUG